GUGCUUACUUUGGCAGCAUGCAUACUAAAAUUGGACCAAUAUAGAGAAGAUUAGCAUGGUCCUGCACAAGGAUGAUGUGAAAAUUCUUGAAGCAUUCUAUAAAAAA
ensembl:snRNA U6 U6 spliceosomal RNA